GGGACAACCAAGGCUAUAGCACACUGAUGCAAUGGAAUCGAAGACUUUUUAUUAAAGGGUUCUUUGGGGACCACAGACUUGUAAACAGAGACAUGUCUUCAACAUUUUCUUGGUCGUAUCUUUGGUGCCAGGGUGUCUGCCUGCUGUUUUGUCGGGAGCUGCGUCCAGAAUUAACUACAGAUUACUCAGCCGGGUCUGGUUUCUCUGUCUUGGUAGACAGCAGGACUAUGGGUUGAUGGUCCCCACAGGCCUUCUAAAUGCAGACACAGCAUCUCCUCAGCCCCUGUCUCCAGCUUUGCUCUACUCUGUAUGCACUUUUAAUAGCUGGGCCAGGCCAUUCCUUCAGAGGAGCUUGGGUGGGUUAAUGACGAAGGGCUCUGUUAGGCUGUCAAGGCGCCCAGGAGAGGAUGCUCACAGGAAUACUAAGGAUCAGUGCUGAGAAGGGAAAGUUCUUCACAAAGGAUGCUUGAGACAUUUCUGUCCGCGAGCUGCUUCUCUGUAGAUUCCUCCAACUCUCGGGCAUCUCCU
rnacentral:lncRNA from 1 species